ACGUAGGCAUAAGACGCGAUGUCUUAGCGAGCACACUUCUCUUUAACCCAUAGGUAGCCGAGCUACGAAGACUCUGAUUCUCAUACUCAGAUGAGAUACGUAUGCAGUGGAUGCGACAUCCGUGCGAUGUCUUAGCGAGCACACUUCUCUUUAACCCAUAGGUAGCCGAGCUACGAAGACUCUGAUUCUCAUACUCAGAUGAGAUACGUAUGCAGUGGAUGCGACAUCCGUG
rnacentral:lncRNA from 1 species